rnacentral:tRNA from 1 species
CGGGCUGUAGCGCAGUUUGGUAGCGCGCCUGCUUUGGGAGCAGGAUGUCGCAGGUUCGAAUCCUGUCAGCCCGACCA